rnacentral:rRNA from 1 species
AACGAACGCUGGCAGCAGGCCUAACACAUGCAAGUCGGACGAGGUUUUCGGACCUAGUGGCGGACGGGUGAGUAACGCGUGGGAACGUGCCCUUUGGUUCGGAAUAGCCCCGGGAAACUGGGAGUAAUACCGGAUAAGCCCUACGGGGGAAAGAUUUAUCGCCAAAGGAUCGGCCCGCGUUGGAUUAGGUAGUUGGUGGGGUAAUGGCCUACCAAGCCGACGAUCCAUAGCUGGUUUGAGAGGAUGAUCAGCCACACUGGGACUGAGACACGGCCCAGACUCCUACGGGAGGCAGCAGUGGGGAAUCUUAGACAAUGGGGGAAACCCUGAUCUAGCCAUGCCGCGUGAUCGAUGAAGGCCUUAGGGUUGUAAAGAUCUUUCAGUGGGGAAGAUAAUGACUGUACCCACAGAAGAAGCCCCGGCUAACUCCGUGCCAGCCGCCGCCGUAA